GGCCUACGGGGGGCAGCAGUGGGGAAUAUUGCACAAUGGGGGAAACCCUGAUGCAGCAACGCCGCGUGAGUGAAGAAGUAUUUCGGUAUGUAAAGCUCUAUCAGCAGGGAAGAGAAUGACGGUACCUGACUAAGAAGCCCCGGCUAACUACGUGCCAGCAGCCGCGGUAAUACGUAGGGGGCGAGCGUUAUCCGGAUUUACUGGGUGUAAAGGGAGCGUAGACGGUUCUGCAAGUCUGAAGUGAAAGCCCGUGGCUUAACCUC
rnacentral:rRNA from 1 species